rnacentral:rRNA from 1 species
UACGGAGGGUGUAAGCGUUAUCCGGAAUCAUUGGGUUUAAAGGGUCCGUAGGCGGACUAAUAAGUCAGAGGUGAAAUCCCACGGCUCAACCGUGGAACUGCCUUUGAUACUGUUGGUCUAGAGUGAUAUUGAAGUAGAUGGAAUGUGUAGUGUAGCGGUGAAAUGCUUAGAUAUUACACAGAACACCGAUUGCGAAGGCAGUCUACUAAGUAUUUACUGACGCUGAGGGACGAAAGCGUGGGGAUCAAACAGG